GAUGAACGCUAGCGGCAGGCCUAACACAUGCAAGUCGAGGGGCAGCACAAUGGGUAGCAAUACUUAUGGUGGCGACCGGCGGACGGGUGCGUAACGCGUAUGCAACCUACCUUGAACAGGGGGAUAAUCCGAAGAAAUUUGGUCUAAUAUCCCAUAACACAUCGAGCGGCAUCGUUUGAUGUUGAAACCUCCGGGGGUUCAAGAUGGGCAUGCGUUGUAUUAGCUUGUUGGUGAAGUAACGGUUCACCAAGGCGACGAUACAUAGGGGGACUGGGAGGUUAACCCCCCACACUGGAACUGGGACACGGACCAGACUCGUACGGGAGGCAGAAGUGAGGAAUAUUGGUCAAUGGGCGCAAGCCUGAACCAUCCAUGCCGCGUGCAGGAAGACGGCUCUAUGAGUUGUAAACUGCUUUUAUGUCAGGGUAAAUCCGCUUACGUGUAGGCGGUUGAAAGUAUGACAAGAAUAAGGAUCGGCUAACUCCGUGCCAGCCGCCGCGGUAAUAC
rnacentral:rRNA from 1 species